UUCGUCCGAACGUGCGACACUGUUGCCCGUAAGGCGAUGACGACGCAGGAAGCCGGUGCGAAUCCGGCGCGGUCCCGCCACUGUCAUCGGGGAGCGACCCUCACACGCCACGGCCAUUGGUUGGAAGGCGAGGCGAGCGACGAUCCGAGAGCCAGGAGACUCGCGUCAUCGCGUCCUGCUAC
rnacentral:ncRNA from 16 species